UACGAAGGGGGCUAGCGUUGUUCGGAAUUACUGGGCGUAAAGCGCACGUAGGCGGCCAUUUAAGUCAGGGGUGAAAUCCCAGAGCUCAACUCUGGAACUGCCUUUGAUACUGGGUGUCUUGAGUAUGGAAGAGGUGAGUGGAAUUCCGAGUGUAGAGGUGAAAUUCGUAGAUAUCGGGAGGAACACCAGUGGCGAAGGCGACUACCUGGCCUGUUCUUGACGCUGAGGCGCGAAAGCUAGGGGAGCAAACGGG
rnacentral:rRNA from 1 species